AUUGAACGCUGGCGGCAGGCCUAACACAUGCAAGUCGAGCGGAUGAAGGGAGCUUGCUCCUGGAUUCAGCGGCGGACGGGUGAGUAAUGCCUAGGAAUCUGCCUGGUAGUGGGGGAUAACGUCCGGAAACGGGCGCUAAUACCGCAUACGUCCUGAGGGAGAAAGUGGGGGAUCUUCGGACCUCACGCUAUCAGAUGAGCCUAGGUCGGAUUAGCUAGUUGGUGGGGUAAAGGCCUACCAAGGCGACGAUCCGUAACUGGUCUGAGAGGAUGAUCAGUCACACUGGAACUGAGACACGGUCCAGACUCCUACGGGAGGCAGCAGUGGGGAAUAUUGGACAAUGGGCGAAAGCCUGAUCCAGCCAUGCCGCGUGUGUGAAGAACGUCUUCGGAUUGUAAAGCACUUUAAGUUGGGAGGAAGGGCAGUAAGUUAAUACCUUGCUGUUUUGACGUUACCAACAGAAUAAGCACCGGCUAACUUCGUG
rnacentral:rRNA from 1 species